rnacentral:rRNA from 1 species
GAUGAACGCUGGCGGCGUGCCUAAUACAUGCAAGUCGAGCGAACGGACGAGAAGCUUGCUUCUCUGAUGUUAGCGGCGGACGGGUGAGUAACACGUGGAUAACCUACCUAUAAGACUGGGAUAACUUCGGGAAACCGGAGCUAAUACCGGAUAAUAUUUUGAACCGCAUGGUUCAAAAGUGAAAGACGGUCUUGCUGUCACUUAUAGAUGGAUCCGCGCUGCAUUAGCUAGUUGGUAAGGUAACGGCUUACCAAGGCAACGAUGCAUAGCCGACCUGAGAGGGUGAUCGGCCACACUGGAACUGAGACACGGUCCAGACUCCUACGGGAGGCAGCAGUAGGGAAUCUUCAGCAAUGGGCGAAAGCCUGACGGAGCAACGCCGCGUGAGUGAUGAAGGUCUUCGGAUCGUAAAACUCUGUUAUUAGGGAAGAACAUAUGUGUAAGUAACUGUGCACAUCUUGACGGUACCUAAGCAGAAAGCCACGGUUAACUACGU